rnacentral:tRNA from 1 species
GCCGGGGUGCCCGAGCGGUUUAAGGGGCUGGCCUGGAGAGCCAGUGGGCUAUCUGCCCGCGCGGGUUCGAAUCCCGCCCCCGGCG